rnacentral:rRNA from 1 species
ACAUGCCUAUAGCAUAGUGUUAAUGCAUCGGAUCCCAUUAGAACUCCAUGUUUAAGUGUGCUCAUGCUAGAGUAGUACUGGGAUGGGUGACUGCCCGGGAAGUCCUAGUGUUUCACAUGCC